UACGGGGGGGGCAAGCGUUGUUCGGAAUUACUGGGCGUAAAGAGCUCGUAGGUGGUUUGUCGCGUUGUCCGUGAAAACUCACAACUCAAUUGUGGGCGUGCGGGCGAUACGGGCAGACUGGAGUACUGCAGGGGAGACUGGAAUUCCUGGUGUAGCGGUGGAAUGCGCAGAUAUCAGGAGGAACACCGGUGGCGAAGGCGGGUCUCUGGGCCAGUACUGACGCUGAGGCACGAAAGCGUGGGGAGCAAACAGG
rnacentral:rRNA from 1 species